CGGGCGAGGUUACUUCGGUAACUGAGCUAGCGGCGGACGGGUGAGUAAUGCUUAGGAAUCUGCCUAUUAGUGGGGGACAACAUUCCGAAAGGAAUGCUAAUACCGCAUACGCCCUACGGGGGAAAGCAGGGGAUCUUCGGACCUUGCGCUAAUAGAUGAGCCUAAGUCAGAUUAGCUAGUUGGUGGGGUAAAGGCCUACCAAGGCGACGAUCUGUAGCGGGUCUGAGAGGAUGAUCCGCCACACUGGGACUGAGACACGGCCCAGACUCCUACGGGAGGCAGCAGUGGGGAAUAUUGGACAAUGGGCGCAAGCCUGAUCCAGCCAUGCCGCGUGUGUGAAGAAGGCCUUUUGGUUGUAAAGCACUUUAAGCGAGGAGGAGGCUACUUGGAUUAAUACUCUAGGAUAGUGGACGUUACUCGCAGAAUAAGCACCGGCUAACUCUGUGCCAGCAGCCGCGGUAAUACAGAGGGUGCGAGCGUUAAUCGGAUUUACUGGGCGUAAAGCGUGCGUAGGCGGCUUCUUAAGUCGGAUGUGAAAUCCCUGAGCUUAACUUAGGAAUUGCAUUCGAUACUGGGAAGCUAGAGUAUGGGAGAGGAUGGUAGAAUUCCAGGUGUAGCGGUGAAAUGCGUAGAGAUCUGGAGGAAUACCGAUGGCGAAGGCAGCCAUCUGGCCUAAUACUGACGCUGAGGUACGAAAGCAUGGGGAGCAAACAGGAUUAGAUACCCUG
rnacentral:rRNA from 1 species